GCGUGCCUCAGCCAAAACGAGGCACGGCGCACGGCUCAGUAGCACGUGGCUAAUCUGCCCUUAGGACGAGAAUACCCCCGGGAAACUGGGGCUAAUUCGCGAUAGGCGAAGAACACUGGAAUGUGUCUUCACCUGAAAGACCCUACGUUAUGCUCGUAGAAGUCGCCUAAGGAUGAGGCCGCGACCGAUCAGGUUGUUGGUGAGGUAAUGGCUCACCAAGCCUUUUACCGGUGCGGGCCGUGAGAGCGGGAGCCCGGAGAUGGGUACUGAGACAAGGACCCAGGCCCUACGGGGCGCAGCAGUCGCGAAACCUUUGCAAUACACGAAAGUGUGACAGGGCUAUCCCGAGUGCCAUCCGCUGAGGAAGGCUUUUACCCAGUCUAGAAAGCUGGGGGAAUAAGGAGAGGGCAAGUCUGGUGUCAGCCGCCGCGGUAAUACCAGCUCUUCGAGUGGUGUGGAUGUUUAUUGGGCCUAAAGCAUCCGUAGCUGGCUAGGUAAGUCCCUUGUAAAAUCCACCGAAUUAAUCGUUGGAUCGCGGGGGAUACUGCUUGGCUAGGGGACGAGAGAGGCAGACGGUAUUUUCGGGGUAGGGGUGAAAUCCUAUAAUCCCGGGAAGACCACCAGUGGCGAAGGCUGUCUGCUAGAACGCGCCCGACGGUGAGGGAUGAAAGCUGGGGGAGCGAACCGGAUUAGAUACCCGGGUAGUCCCAGCUGUAAACGAUGCAGACUAGGUGUUUGAACGGCCACGUGCCGUUCUAGUGCCGCAGGGAAGCUGUUAAGUCUGCCGCCUGGGGAGUACGAUCGCGAGAUUGAAACUUAA
rnacentral:rRNA from 1 species